CCAGCUCGCUUGGCCGCAAAUAUUUGAGGAGUGUAAAUACAAAGGAGGAAACAGGACGGCUCGGUCUGCUCCGGGGGGGGAGGCUGGGCCAGGGAAGUGUUAGACACAUGAUCUGAAAAUUCACUUAGUAGAGAAAUUUCACUGCUGAAAAUCGAGCAAAGGAGAGCAAUGCCCAGGAUUUUGUUUCUCUGUUGCAUUUCGGUCCUUCUGCACGUGUUUGUGUCCUGAACCAGAAUGAAGAGUUGGAUUAUAAAAGCCAGAGACGAGCUGCUCUUUUGCUGCGAUCUGUGCGAGCGGCAGGCUUUGCCGGCGUUAUUCGUGGAAAAGCGAGGUGCUUCGGCAUUGGAGAGCGCCGUUUUGAGCAAAAAGGUGGUGUUUCCCACCGACUGUUUGGCACCGCUUUGGAAGCACCGGGCCUUGCGCGUCCAGAGCGCGUUCCCAGUCGGGACGAUGAUCCGGAGAGAUUCUCCGCGCUGAAAGAGCAUCAUCACCAUUCAGUGCGGGAAAUGCCUGUUUUUUCUUCCGUAGGUAAGAGUGGGA